rnacentral:rRNA from 1 species
GUGUCAGCAGCCGCGGUAAUACGGAGGGUGCAAGCGUUAAUCGGAAUUACUGGGCGUAAAGCGUGCGUAGGCGGUAAGUUAAGUCUGCUGUGAAAUCCCUGGGCUCAACCUGGGAAUGGCGGUGGAUACUGGCUUGCUGGAGUACGGUAGAGGAAGGUGGAAUUCCCGGUGUAGCGGUGAAAUGCGUAGAGAUCGGGAGGAACAUCAGUGGCGAAGGCGACCUUCUGGACCAGUACUGACGCUGAGGCACGAAAGCGUGGGGAGCAAACAGGAUUAGAAACCCCAGUAGUCC